CAACUUACGUGGUGCUGGGGUCGCAAUGAUCACAAAGGUUGCGAUCCCGUGCGGACACCUUCCAUUGCACUGCGGUUGGUUGAAGCACGCCACUUCCCUGAAAGUAGGGUUGUGGGGCAUCUAAUUUUUGGUAGUGGGGCUUGGCGUUCGCGCCAGCCCUGC